CAAUCAGACUUUUAAUUGUUGGUUGGCUAGC
rnacentral:piRNA from 1 species